AUACUUUUUGUUUAACACCAUAAAAUGAAAUGUUACUCAUGCAUUUUCUGACAGAACAGGUUAUUGUGUUAUUAUCUGUUUGAAAACUUUACCUUAAACAUUUUGUCCUACAUGAUAGCUUUAAAAUAUUGUUUCUUUUCAGAAUGUGUUGCCUGCAGCUGCUCUUCAGGGAUCUUUUUCUCUGAGCAGAGCACUUGUGUUUGUACCCUUGUGCCACACAUAGAUGGAGAAACAAAUGGCUGUAUUUUUAGUGUAGCGUUCCUGGGAACUAAUUACAAUCAUAAGCAGAGAGAAACAGAGAAUUGCAAGACUGCCCUUUCACUUACAUUACUCUGAUCAUUUUGCUUUGUUAUCAUUUCUACACAUCUUUCAAUCUGUGGAUGCAGGAGAUGGUGACGAGUCAAUAAUUAGGAGGCACCCAUGAAAUGAAUGUGCUUCUGGUGUGGUUGUCUUCAGGCAUUUUUCUCUGUUCUCUUCUCUGCAGCUUACUGAAGGAGAAUCUUAACCAAGAUGAUAAGUCUGCCACUGGAGAGCUAUUGGUGUGGUGACAAGGCAUGAGGGAGGGAAAAGGCCACGGAAGCAUGGGAGCCCUCAAGACUGUGGACCUAUGCAGCUUCUCUCUCUCAAGUUAUUUCACAUUCAGCAUCCAGCGAUUCAUCAGAAUCAACAUUAGAGGUCCUACUAGUUUAUGGCUCCAGCAGCUUCUGCUCCAGGUAAACAGAUUUCAGCUCUAUCUCUCAGGAUAUGCCUGCCCCUCCAAAUGUAAGGGUGGCAGUUUGUCCUGGAAUCUCCAUUUUCUGAUUGGUUCAGUACAAGUUAUUGAUUUUCAGUUUGUAAAGCUUUUCCUUUUACAACAAUGGGAUGGAUGAUUUCCAAUUUCUUUAUAUGUGGGAGCUGAAGCUAGAAGCCUCCUCAACCUAUUUUUAAAUUUCUACUUAUAUUAGCCAACUUUUCUAUAUCUCCAGAGUCAGGAGCUCUGGGUCAUUUUUGCAGUUUUAUGGUCCUUUAAAAAUAAGUUAUACCAGGAAAACUUCCACUUCAAAGUCAAAAUGAGAAGUAUGACAUCAAAUGCAAUCAACUAUGGGACUACACUUUCAGAAAAAAUCAUGAAUGACAAAACAGAGGGAAUGUAAAUGAAAUUGUGUGACUAUCAUGAGCUGCUGAGUGACUUAUGAUUACUGUAACCAUUCAUAAAUAUCACCCACAUUGCAUAAUUCUAUCAUUGGGUAGAUUAUAAAAUUACUUAAAGAAAUACAUUUAAUCAAUAUAAUAUCUUUGUACUUUUAUUUCCCUUAAAACUCAUUUCUUAUCACUGAUAGAAAGCCAUAAUAUAACUAGUGUGCCUAUAUAAUGAAUAUUAAGGAAUUAAGAAUUUAUGAACUUUUAUAGUAAAGUAAAUAGCAACUAGUGUAUUUAAUUGUGGUGACAUUCUCCCAAGGAAGUUAUCAUUCUCAGUAAUUCAAGCUUCUCUAUAGUUAAGUUCUCUGUGGCAAAAUUUAUCUAAAUCUAAAAGUGACUGGAUUAGAUGAGCUCUAAGAUCUCCAUCUGGGGCUAACCAGUGAAGUUAAAGCUAACCAAUUGCGGUGGGCUGGGGGUAGGGAAAUGGGGAGAUGUGGGUCAAAGAAUACAAUGAUGAAUAAGUUUUAGGGAUCUGAUAUACAGUAUGAGAGGUGAUGGGUAUAUUAACUAAUUUUAUUUUCAUAAUCAUUACACAAUUUAUACAAAUAUCAAGUCAUCAUACUGCAUGCUUUGAAUAUAUGCAGUCGUUUUUGUCAAUUAAAUAUUUUAAAUAAAAAGGUGAUUCCCUUAAAAAAAACCCACCAAAUUAGUAAUUAUAGCAUUUUCUAAUACAAAGGAGCCAUUAAUAAAAACCAUUUCAUCUGUGGUGUCAACAGAUUCAUAAGCUGCUGAGUUUGAUUAGAAGGGUUUCCAUCAUUAUGGAAAUCUGCUGUUAAUUUAUUCAUCCUAAUUCUAUUCAUUAAAUUGUCAUAGCUUUUUUAGUUAAUAUUUUUGGCCUCAGUUAAUAUUAUGAUUCACAGAAAGCACACUUUCUAUUUUUAUCAGAUGAACCAAGAAAGUACACUAUACUCACUUAAGACCACAUCUCUGUUUUUAGAACUAGCCUACUAUUAGGGGUAUGGGAGUGUUGUCAUUUACUAUCUCUAGUCCUGACAGUUUACUAGCAUAAUUUAUUUUGAUUUUACGGGUGGCAUGAUAGAAAAUUUGUAUAAUGUUAUUUGUAACAAAAUGAGAAUACUCAGAAAACAGUAGUCAAUUCAGCAUUUAAAAUAAAGUUAUAUCUUCAGGCCAAUAAAACACUUUAAAAAUAAAUCGAAUUUUAUUGGCAUGUACUACAAGUGGCAGAAACUAUUGGUCUUUGAAAUUUUAAAGAUCCUAUCAGACAUUGUAAAGCUCACACUUUUCUGGGUGCCCUGUCUCUUUUUUUCUAGAUUUAAACUUAUUGACAUUUUUAUUAUUGACUUGUUUCCAAUAAAUGCCUUUAAUCGCCACAUUUUUCUCCUCUCUUUUUAUUUUAUUUUUUUCUUAUGUACAAUGCGGACUGCCCUUUGCAUCACCUGGAAUGUUUUUAUUAUCUAUUUUGAUCUGGAAGUAGGUAACAUUUC
rnacentral:lncRNA from 1 species